UUACGUCCAUAUCACGUUGAAAAACGGUUCUAGUACGAUCACCGAAAUUAAGCAACAUUGAGCUUGGUUAGUAUCUAGAUGCGUGACCGCUUGGGAAUACCAGGUGUUGUAAG